GUCCACCUCCCUGCAGAUAGCCGCCUCGAUGCCAACCCUGAUCCUCCCGUCCUACAAAGUUCCUCUGAACCCAUCAUUCCUGUCCCCACCUCCUCUCUCUUCCCAAGUCCUCUCAUCUCUUCUUCACCAAGAGGAAGAAGGAAGGGCAGGGACUGGCAUCCUCUGAGCCACUGCACUGGGGCAACAGGAGGAGUCCAGCAGAGGGACCUGAGCUGCCCGGGGACGUGAGGAGAUGUCAAAGGUGUCAUCGACGGUGGCUGCUCCUGUGGAGAAGCAGAAGACUUUGGUUGUGAGAGGAAGAAGGCUGAUGUUCAGCAUGAAGGAUUUUUUCAAGCUUGGACAGCAGAAGAUUUUAAAAAAUAGGAAAAAAAAUAUUUAAUGUACAAUUAAGAAACAAACCAACAGAAAAAAAAAAAAACAAAAACAAACAAACACACAAAAAAACUAAAGCCACAAGAUAACCAAAACAAUAAAUGUUCCUCUGUUCUUUUAGAACUUGA